CGUCUGUCUCUCAUGAUGACCCCCUUCGCCCUGAACUGCUGUGAUCUGGCUUCAAAGUAAACGCUCUGAAGAGAGGACGGGGAC